rnacentral:rRNA from 1 species
ACUCCUGCGGGAGGCAGCAGUGGGGAAUUUUGGACAAUGGGCGAAAGCCUGAUCCAGCAAUGCCGCGUGAGUGAAGAAGGCCUUCGGGUUGUAAAGCUCUUUUGUCAGGGAAGAAACGGUGAAAGCUAAUAUCUUUUGCUAAUGACGGUACCUGAAGAAUAAGCACCGGCUAACUACGUGCCAGCAGCCGCGGUAAUACGUAGGGUGCAAGCGUUAAUCGGAAUUACUGGGCGUAAAGCGUGCGCAGGCGGUUUUGUAAGUCUGAUGUGAAAUCCCCGGGCUCAACCUGGGAAUUGCAUUGGAGACUGCAAGGCUAGAAUCUGGCAGAGGGGGGUAGAAUUCCACGUGUAGCAGUGAAAUGCGUAGAUAUGUGGAGGAACACCGAUGGCGAAGGCAGCCCCCUGGGUCAAGAUUGACGCUCAUGCACGAAAGCGUGGGGAGCAAACAGGAUUAGAUACCCUGGUAGUCCCAU